GGCUUGUGAGCUAAACAUAUCGCAAAAUUUAAUUCAGCAAAUAUUGAAAAAUGAGAUCGGGGUAAAGCCAUUGCAAUUCCAAAAAGUGCAAGAACUUACACCGCAACAGAAAAAAUAGACUCAAAAGAGCUAAAGAGUUGCUGCGCUUGGCCGUAAGUGGUGAACUGCCGAAUUUGGGUUUCUCCGAUGAGAAAACAUUUGUUGUCCAGUAUUUGUAAACAAACAAAAUAAUGGUGUUUACUUGCCAAAGAGGUCAGCUGAAAAUGUGCACCUUCGGUUGGCCACCAGAAUUUAAGCGCCGGCCAUGUUGAUGGUGUGGGCCUCCAUAACAACCGAUGGCCAGUGUCCGCUCGUAUUAAUCGACCGUGGCAUCAGAAUAAAUGCCGAAUAUUAUCUCGAAAAUAUUCUGGAGGGUGUAUUA